rnacentral:rRNA from 1 species
UAGGUUUUUUUUUUUUUUUUUUUUUUUUUUUUUUUUUAANUCUUUUUUUUUAUUUGAUUACUUUAAAUUUAGUUAAUAGUACUGUAGAGGUUAAUUAUUUUUAUUUUAGAAUAAUAAUUUUUUUUAGUACCUUUUGUAUCAGGGUUAAUUAAAUUUUUUAAUUUAUUUUAUUUUCUCGAAUUGGAGGGAUUUAUUUAAUUUUGUAUUUUUUUGUGUCAUAAUUAAUUAUAAAAAUUGAAUGGUUUUGAAAUGAAAUUCGUUUUCCAUUAUAUCUAGUUAUUUCUUAAAUUGAUUUAAUCAAUAAUAUUUAUUAUUUUUUUUUUUUUGUGUUAAUAUUACAGGUUAAGGGGGAUAAGCUCUUUAUUUUUAUAUAAUUAUUUAUUAUUUCUCUUUUGUUGAAUUAAAUUCUUUUAUCAUUAUAAGUUCGUUGUAGAUUAAGAGUGUAUAUUAAUUUAUUUAUUUUCUUAGGAGAUUUUUUUUUAAACUUUUUGGUUUUUAAUAAUGAUUAAAUUAGUAUAAUUAAAAAUUUUUUAUAUGAACUAGGCAAAUAUAUUUUCGCCUGUUUAACAAAAACAUCUUCUUUAGUGUUUAUUAAAGAUAUAACCUGCUCAAUGAUUUUUAAAUAGCCGCAGUAAUUUAACUGUGCUAAGGUAGCAUAAUAAUUAGUCUUUUAAUUGAGGUCUGGAAUGAAUGGUUGGACGAGAAAUAUACUUUAUUUAAUUGAUUUUUUUGAAUUUUAUUUUUUAGUUAAAAAGCUAAAAUUUUGAAGAGGGACGAUAAGACCCUAUAGAUCUUAAUUUAAUUUAUUUAAGUUUUUUUUUUGUUGUCUUUUUUAAUUUAUUUAAUUUAAAUUUGGUUGGGGCGACAAAUAAAUUUUUAAUCUUUUUUUUUUUUUUACAAUUAUUUUUGGGUUUUGAUCUUUUUUAUUGAUUAUAAGAUGAAGAUACCUUAGGGAUAACAGCGUUAUUUAGUUGGAUAGUUCAUAUUGAUAACUAAGAUUGCGACCUCGAUGUUGGAUUAAAAUUUUCUGUGGGGUAGGUUUUACAGUUAAGGGUCUGUUCGACCUUUAAAAUUUUACAUGAUCUGAGUUCAGACCGGCGUGAGCCAGGUUGGUUUCUAUCUUCUUUUAAUUUAUUCUAAUUAGUACGAAAGGAUUUUUAGUAAUGUAAUAUUUAUU